AACGAACGCUGGCGGCAUGCCUAACACAUGCAAGUCGAACGAGAAAGCGCCGCAAGGCGCCGUAAAGUGGCGGACGGGUGAGUAGCGCGUGGGAACCUGCCCUAGGGUACGGAACAACUCAGGGAAACUUGAGCUAAUACCGUAUACGUUCUCUUCGGAUGGUCCGGAGAGAAGAAAGAUUUAUCGCCCCGGGAUGGGCCCGCGUUGGAUUAGCUAGUUGGUAGGGUAACGGCCCACCAAGGCGACGAUCCAUAGCUGGUCUGAGAGGAUGAUCAGCCACACUGGGACUGAGACACGGCCCAGACUCCUACGGGAGGCAGCAGUGGGGAGUAUUGGACAAUGGGGGAAACCCUGAUCCAGCAAUGCCGCGUGAGUGAAGAAGGCCUUCGGGUUGUAAACCGCUUUUGUCAGGGAAGAAAAGGUUCUGGUUAAUACCUGGGACUCAUGACGGUACCUGAAGAAUAAGCACCGGCUAACUACGUGCCAGCAGCCGCAGUAAAAC
rnacentral:rRNA from 1 species